CACUGCCCGUCGCUACAUUGACCUAUUGAAUGAUUUAGUGAGGUCUUCGAACCGAUGUCCCGCGCAGCCUCUUAGUAGCGCCGGUCUGUUGGAAAUAUGACCAAACUUGAUCAUUUCGAGGAAGGAAAAGUCGUAACAAGGUUUCCGUAUGUGAACCUGCGGAAG
rnacentral:rRNA from 1 species